ACCCAGACUCCUACGGGAGGCAGCAGUGGGGGAUAUUGCACAAUGGGGGAAACCCUGAUGCAGCGACGCCGCGUGGGUGAAGAAGCGCCUCGGCGCGUAAAGCCCUGUCAGCAGGGAAGAAAAUGACGGUACCUGAAGAAGAAGCCCCGGCUAACUACGUGCCAGCAGCCGCGGUAAUACGUAGGGGGCAAGCGUUAUCCGGAUUCACUGGGUGUAAAGGGAGCGUAGACGGCCAUGCAAGCCUGGAGUGAAAGCCCGGGGCCCAACCCCGGGACUGCUCUGGGAACUGUGCGGCUGGAGUGCGGGAGGGGCAGGCGGAAUUCCUGGUGUAGCGGUGAAAUGCGUAGAUAUCAGGAGGAACACCGGCGGCGAAGGCGGCCUGCUGGACCGCGACUGACGUUGAGGCUCGAAAGCGUGGGGAGCAAACAGGAUUAGAUACCCCGGUA
rnacentral:rRNA from 1 species